rnacentral:lncRNA from 1 species
AACCUCCUCAAUCCCCAGAUUCCAGCUACAAUAACUUGCACCUUGGAGCUGAGGACUACGCAAAGGAGCCGCCUGUGGUACCACCCCAUCUACAGAUGACUUUGCUUAAUGUCCCUUCAUCUCACAUGGAAAUUCCACCACCACUUUCGAGGCCUCAGCACGUGGUGCAGUGCCACCCCAUCUACAGAUGACUUUGCUUAAUGUCCCUUCAUCUCACAUGGAAAUUCCACCGCCGCUUUCGAGGCCUCAGCACGUGGUGCUUAACCAUCUCUACAUGCAGAAAGGAAGAAGUACUCCUUCUGUGGUAGCACUUGGUUCAACUAACCGGUUUCUGUCCAAAUACGUGACAGUGGUUCUUUACAAGUCAAUACAGAGGCGAAAGUUCGCAGACCUGUCUUUAUGAUAGUCUUAAAUAACUCAAAUAUUAGUAGCAACAUAGACAAUGUCGGGGGUUCGAGCCGUAGAAACAGCCUCCCGUAGAAAUGCAGGGUCAGGCUGCGUACAAUAGACCCUUGUGGUCCGGCCCUUCCCUGGACCCUGGACAGCGGAAGCUUAGUGCAUCGGGCUGCCCACUAGUAGCAACAUAUUAGAAGUCAAGCAUGUGGCUCAUGGAUACUGCAGUUAAAAGCAAAAGGCAGUAGAGGUAAUGCUUAGAAGUUUUAAUUGUAGCAAAUUUUGACUGUUACUUCCUCCAUUUACUUUGCAUCUUUCUCAUUUGGCCCUUCUUUCUUUAACACACAAUUGUUCUCUUUCUCUUGUUUUUUCAUAAUCUUAUGGAUUUAGCUUUGCAACAAUCAAUAGAUGUUGCUCUACAUGGCCAAACUGGAAAAAAGAAAUAUUUGAAAAAGGAGGCUCGAGUGAAUAUAGCAUGGGCCAGUUGUAUAGCCAACGUUUGUUAAGUCACUAAAAAAAUAGUCAUUAUUUUGCUGAAAUACGGAAAGUUCAAGCAUAAAUAUGCUGGAUUAUGGAGUUCCUGAAUAUAAACUUCCAGCAUAUUAUGUUGGAUUUUCAGCACACGGAAAGUUCCAACAUAAUAUGCUGGGUUAUGGAGCUCUUAUAUAUAAACUUCUCGCAUAUUAUGUUUGGAACUCCUAACACAUUAUGUUGGAAGCACAUAUGUAACAAAUUUUAUCCACAGUAUAUUAUGCUAGAAUAUUUCUAGAUUAAGGGUGUUUUUGUUUAGAUUAUGUUUACAUGAAGCAUUGGCUAAAUUUCGAUUAUUUUAAAAUUGGUGG